UAAGAUAAUUUAACUCAACACUCGAUUAAUUUAAUACCACCUGUGCAAAUCAGGAUUAGCUGGAUUGGUGUUGCCUAUAAAACAUGGAAUGAACCAAGAAAAGAUUAAAAUUGUAUGCAACUGAGAAGCAAAUGGCAAUGGAAGUUGAAAGGAGAGUGCAAUCAAAGAACUUUUCUGAACAUGAGAAAAGUCUUUUAAAGCAAAUAGUUUCGAGACAUCCUGUUAUCGAAGAUAAAACUGCACACAUCAGCUGUUGAAUCCAAAAAAGGAAUGCAUGGAAAUCUAUUUGUAAUGAAUUUAAUGCAAAUGAACACACAUUUACAUGAACAAUACAACAACUUCAAAGAGGUUUAAGACUGGAGGAGGACCUGCAAAUAAAGCCUGUGAUUGUAUUGGAUGAGUUACUGACAAGAAUACUGGAGAAUCAACAACCUUUGGAGAACAUACCAGAUGAUGACCAUCUAGAUGGUUCAGAUGAUGGAUCACAUGCACCUAUAUUAAGAGGUCAAAACAGAACUGAAGAAUUGGAAAGCAGCUUACCCUCCACAUCCUCAGAAGCAAGGGUUGCAUUGUCUGCCAGUACUGGUCAACAGAAGAAAAGACUCACUGUUCAUGAAAAGUUGGAUGAUGAUUUUCAUGAACAUAAAUUGAAGUAUCUUGAGGAGCAUGAAGAUACAAGUAGAACUGGAGAUAAAGAUGAAGGAGAGAGCAGGCUCAAAUGUCACAUCAGUACAUGAAUCUGUGAAAUAAAUAUUGUUUUAUGACGAAAAGAUGGAUGUUGUGGUGGUUUCAGUAACAUACCAGACAAAAGUGGACACUUCUAACACAUAUUUGGUUUUUAUCAUUACAUGUAUCAGAUCUGAGCGGAAGGGUGAAAGGUAAAAAAUAUAAAAAUCUAUUUAAAGUGGCACAAUGCAAAAGCAUCCCUGUAUGCAAGUCCUUCUCUGUGGUUUGUUGUAAAUGGUGGCACAUCUGGAUUGUCAUCCUCUUCUAUUGGGGGAUCUGGGCAUCCCUGCUUUUUUAGGUAGUUGUGAAGAACAGCUGUUGCAAUGAUGACAGUGCAGCAUCUACUUGGUUUGAAUCUAAGUGUUUUUAAAGCACUGUAAGCGACUCUUCCAAACAUGCGCUUGACUAAACCCCUUCUGCGCAUCUGAACCUGGUUGUAGCACAGUUGUUGGGUGCAAGUAUGUUGUAAACAAGAAAUCCUUCUGAG
ensembl:lncRNA